rnacentral:rRNA from 1 species
UACAGAGGGGCAAGCGUUGUCCGGAAUUACUGGGCGUACAGCGCGCGCAGGCGGUCAUGGACGUGCCGUGUGACAGACGUCGGCUCAACCGACGUAGGCCAGGGUACACGACAUGACUGGAGGACAGAGAGAGGAAUGUGGAAUACCCGGUGGAGCGGUGAAAUGCGUAGAGAUCGGGUGGAACACCAGGGGCGAAGGCGGCAUUCUGGCGUCUGUUCUGACGCUGAGGCGCGAGAGCGUGGGGGAGCAAACCGG